rnacentral:rRNA from 1 species
CCUACGGGAGGCAGCAGUGAGGAAUAUUGGUCAAUGGCCGGAAGGCUGAACCAGCCAAGUCGCGUGAGGGACGACUGCCCUAUGGGUUGUAAACCUCUUUUAUAAGGGAAGAAUAAAUGCUACGUGUAGCAUAAUGCCUGUACCUUAUGAAUAAGCAUCGGCUAACUCCGUGCAAGCAGCCGCGGUAAUACGGAGGAUGCGAGCGUUAGCCGGAUUUAGUGGGUUUAAAGGGUGCGGAGGCGGUUUUUUAAGUUAGUGGUUAAACGUCGGGGCUUCAACUUGAUUUGCCAUUAAUACUGUAAGACUCGAGUUCAGACGAGGUAGGCGGAAUAAGUUAAGUAGCGGUGAAAUGCUUAGAUAUAACUUAGAACUCCGAGAGCGAAGGCAGCUUACCAGACUGCGACUGACGCUGAAGCACGAGAGCGUGGGUAGCGAACAGGAUUAGAUACCCUAGUAGUC